rnacentral:rRNA from 1 species
GUAGGUGGCAAGCGUUGUCCGGAAUUAUUGGGCGUAAAGCGCGCGCAGGCGGUCCUUUAAGUCUGAUGUGAAAGCCCACGGCUCAACCGUGGAGGGUCAUUGGAAACUGGGGGACUUGAGUACAGAAGAGGAAAGCGGAAUUCCAAGUGUAGCGGUGAAAUGCGUAGAGAUUUGGAGGAACACCAGUGGCGAAGGCGGCUUUCUGGUCUGUAACUGACGCUGAGGCGCGAGAGCGUGGGGAGCAAACAGGGAUUAGAUACCCUGGUAGUCCACGCCGUAAACGAUGAGUGCUAAGUGUUAGGGGGUUUCCCGCCCCUUAGUGCUGCAGCUAACGCAUUAAGCACUCCGCCUGGGGAGUACGGCCGCAAGGCUG